AGGGGAGAGGGUGGAAGAAGAAAGAAUUAUUUACUUGGGAAACGCAAGCAAAAGUUUUGAAAUCUCAUUUGCUUUGUAAAAGAGCUGAAAAUCACCCCAUAGAAUCUGUUACUCUCAUUAUUCUAAAGUGCUGCUCCAUACAGCCUGUUGCACAUGAAAGAUGGCUAUUUGAUUCCCAGCACAGUUGGGUUCCACUGUUUCUGACAGCAGGACUGCAUGGAUUUAAGAGCACUUUCUACUUGCGGAAGCGAAAACCCCAAGGAAGGGGAGGUUGAAGAAGCCGAUAAUGCCUUGCAUUGAUGGACAAUGUGAUGGAGAAGCUUAGACUGGCCAUCCCAAAGACAGAGAAUACAGCAUACAAGAACAUCAAGUGUGCCUCAGUUCUACAGUCAUCCCACACCAAUGUGGUACCCAGUGUAAUAAGAAAGGAGAAGAAGGAAAAGGAAAGGAAUGGUAACCUCUGGGCAUUUCCAACAUUCUUGCACCAGUUUAAAAAAAUUAAUAUGGCAUCUGUUUUCUGCUUUUUAUUCCAUAUAUCUCCCAGUGAUCCCAUUCAGUGACUUUACUUGGCACCAUUUGUGGGUUAGGAUUUCAACUGCAUUUUUCUCAAACUGUAUGGAGAGGGUUAUUUUUGUCCAAAAAAACUGGUGUUAAAGAUUCAGAAUGAUAAUAUUAUAUCUCUGUCUGGAGAAGCAACAUCCCUAAUGAAAUGCAGCCAAGAUACAUUAAGAAUGAACAAGAGAUAAGAGAGGAAUUUCGGCUAUAACUCUUUCUGGAGGAUUAUAUUUAAGAACGCUUGGAAAAGAAAUGUACAUUUAUGGUUCAACAAAGAAAUAAGAUCUCUUCCAAAUUGCUGAAGGUUGCUGGUCCUAUGGCCAAUACUGACCUGCUUGAUGAGAGGAUUCUUCACUACAAGAUGAAAGAAUAAAAACAAGACAGAGAAGAGAACAGACCUGUCCAGUCGGGAUUAAUUGUAAGAUCUGGAUUUUCAGUAUACAGAUGACCACAGAGUUAAUUGAUGCCACUGGAUGCAUUUCUUUGUGGAUGGCCACCCACCAUCUUAAUCUGAAUAUGGGGGGAAAAUGAGAUCUUUGCAACAGCAAAGGCAUGUGAUUUCCAUCUCUUGAACAUCCAUAGGAUCCCUCAUUUCUUGACCACUGAGACUGCCCAUAUGCUUGUCCAGGCUUUGGUUAUGUCACACUUGGAUUAUUGCAAUUGUCUGUUUGCACAGCUCUGUCAAUGCGGUAGGCCUAUCAAGAUCUGGCUCUGCACCUGUGGAACAGACUUGCAUUGGACCCCCAGCUGGAUGAGUAUCUCAUCCAUUUUCAUAAGAGGCUGAAGACCUUCCUUUUUGAUUUGCCAGAUUAAGCUGCUGAUUUGUGCCUGAGGUCGCUGGGUUGGGUGGUGACUGAUGGGAUAUUGGAGAUUAUAUGUAUAUUUAUAGUGUUAUGUUUUAUUUUCUUUGACUCUGAUUGCAUAUGUUUGAUGUUCUGCCCUUUGGUAAAAAGGGCGUUGUAAAUCACCAUCAUCAUUAUUAUCAACAUCACAUAUUAUUGUUACAUUUUUUUCUAAUGGAGGCAACAAAAAUUUGGUACAAUUUGAACAGCUGUAGUGCAUAGAGUAAUUUGUAUAAGGCAGGAAUUUUAAGUAUCUAUGUAAAUAAUUUUAGUUAUAAUUUUAAUUGUGUGAUAUGUUUUUGAGAUGCCUAAUAAAGGUUAUGAUGAUGAUGAUGAUUA